rnacentral:rRNA from 1 species
AGCGUACACGGUGGAUGCCCUGGCAGUCAGAGGCGAUGAAGGGCGUGCUAAUCUGCGAUAAGCGCCGGUAAGGUGAUAUGAACCGUUAUAACCGGCGAUACCCGAAUGGGGAAACCCAGUGUGAUUCGUCACACUAUCAUUAACUGAAUCCAUAGGUUAAUGAGGCGAACCGGGGGAACUGAAACAUCUAAGUACCCCGAGGAAAAGAAAUCAACCGAGAUUCCCCCAGUAGCGGCGAGCGAACGGGGAGGAGCCCAGAGCCUGAAUCAGCAUGUGUGUUAGUGGAAGCGUCUGGAAAGGCGCGCGAUACAGGGUGACAGCCCCGUACACAAAAGCGCAUGUGCUGUGAGCUCGAUGAGUAGGGCGGGACACGUGGUAUCCUGUCUGAAUAUGGGGGGACCAUCCUCCAAGGCUAAAUACUCCUGACUGACCGAUAGUGAACCAGUACCGUGAGGGAAAGGCGAAAAGAACCCCGGCGAGGGGAGUGAAAAAGAACCUGAAACCGUGUACGUACAAGCAGUGGGAGCACCCUUCGGGGUGUGACUGCGUACCUUUUGUAUAAUGGGUCAGCGACUUAUAUUCUGUAGCAAGGUUAACCGUAUAGGGGAGCCGGAGGGAAACCGAGUCUUAACCGGGCGUUAAGUUGCAGGGUAUAGACCCGAAACCCGGUGAUCUAGCCAUGGGCAGGUUGAAGGUUGGGUAACACUAACUGGAGGACCGAACCGACUAAUGUUGAAAAAUUAGCGGAUGACCUGUGGCUGGGGGUGAAAGGCCAAUCAAACCGGGAGAUAGCUGGUUCUCCCCGAAAGCUAUUUAGGUAGCGCCUCGUGAAUUCAUCUCCGGGGGUAGAGCACUGUUUCGGCUAGGGGGCCAUCCCGGCUUACCAACCCGAUGCAAACUGCGAAUACCGGAGAAUGUUAUCACGGGAGACACACGGCGGGUGCUAACGUCCGUCGUGAAGAGGGAAACAACCCAGACCGCCAGCUAAGGUCCCAAAGUCAUGGUUAAGUGGGAAACGAUGUGGGAAGGCCCAGACAGCCAGGAUGUUGGCUUAGAAGCAGCCAUCAUUUAAAGAAAGCGUAAUAGCUCACUGGUCGAGUCGGCCUGCGCGGAAGAUGUAACGGGGCUAAACCAUGCACCGAAGCUGCGGCAGCGAACGUAUCACCCAAGACAACUUUACGGAGUUGACGAUUGACGGAGCGAAGCGACGUCAAAGCGUUCAUUAAAGUCGAGUUGGCUUAGGGAUACGUUCGUUGGGUAGGGGAGCGUUCUGUAAGCCUGUGAAGGUGUGUCGUGAGGCAUGCUGGAGGUAUCAGAAGUGCGAAUGCUGACAUAAGUAACGAUAAAGCGGGUGAAAAGCCCGCUCGCCGGAAGACCAAGGGUUCCUGUCCAACGUUAAUCGGGGCAGGGUGAGUCGACCCCUAAGGCGAGGCCGAAAGGCGUAGUCGAUGGGAAACGGGUUAAUAUUCCCGUACUUGGUGUUACUGCGAAGGGGGGACGGAGAAGGCUAUGUUGGCCGGGCGACGGUUGUCCCGGUUUAAGCGUGUAGGUGUGUGUUCCAGGUAAAUCCGGUUCACUUUAACACUGAGGCGUGACGACGAGGCACUACGGUGCUGAAGCAACAAAUGCCCUGCUUCCAGGAAAAGCCUCUAAGCAUCAGGUAACACGAAAUCGUACCCCAAACCGACACAGGUGGUCAGGUAGAGAAUACCAAGGCGCUUGAGAGAACUCGGGUGAAGGAACUAGGCAAAAUGGUGCCGUAACUUCGGGAGAAGGCACGCUGACACGUAGGUGAAGUGAUUUACUCAUGGAGCUGAAGUCAGUCGAAGAUACCAGCUGGCUGCAACUGUUUAUUAAAAACACAGCACUGUGCAAACACGAAAGUGGACGUAUACGGUGUGACGCCUGCCCGGUGCCGGAAGGUUAAUUGAUGGGGUCAGCGCAAGCGAAGCUCCUGAUCGAAGCCCCGGUAAACGGCGGCCGUAACUAUAACGGUCCUAAGGUAGCGAAAUUCCUUGUCGGGUAAGUUCCGACCUGCACGAAUGGCGUAAUGAUGGCCAGGCUGUCUCCACCCGAGACUCAGUGAAAUUGAACUCGCUGUGAAGAUGCAGUGUACCCGCGGCAAGACGGAAAGACCCCGUGAACCUUUACUAUAGCUUGACACUGAACAUUGAGCCUUGAUGUGUAGGAUAGGUGGGAGGCUUUGAAGUGUGGACGCCAGUCUGCAUGGAGCCGACCUUGAAAUACCACCCUUUAAUGUUUGAUGUUCUAACGUGGACCCGUAAUCCGGGUUGCGGACAGUGUCUGGUGGGUAGUUUGACUGGGGCGGUCUCCUCCUAAAGAGUAACGGAGGAGCACGAAGGUUGGCUAAUCCUGGUCGGACAUCAGGAGGUUAGUGCAAUGGCAUAAGCCAGCUUGACUGCGAGCGUGACGGCGCGAGCAGGUGCGAAAGCAGGUCAUAGUGAUCCGGUGGUUCUGAAUGGAAGGGCCAUCGCUCAACGGAUAAAAGGUACUCCGGGGAUAACAGGCUGAUACCGCCCAAGAGUUCAUAUCGACGGCGGUGUUUGGCACCUCGAUGUCGGCUCAUCACAUCCUGGGGCUGAAGUAGGUCCCAAGGGUAUGGCUGUUCGCCAUUUAAAGUGGUACGCGAGCUGGGUUUAGAACGUCGUGAGACAGUUCGGUCCCUAUCUGCCGUGGGCGCUGGAGAACUGAGGGGGGCUGCUCCUAGUACGAGAGGACCGGAGUGGACGCAUCACUGGUGUUCGGGUUGUCAUGCCAAUGGCACUGCCCGGUAGCUAAAUGCGGAAGAGAUAAGUGCUGAAAGCAUCUAAGCACGAAACUUGCCCCGAGAUGAGUUCU